rnacentral:rRNA from 1 species
UACGUAGGGUGCGAGCGUUAAUCGGAAUUACUGGGCGUAAAGCGUGCGCAGGCGGUUUUGUAAGCCAGAUGUGAAAGCCCCGGGCUCAACCUGGGAAUGGCAUUUGGGACUGCAAGGCUUGAGUGCGGCAGAGGAGACUGGAAUUCCUGGUGUAGCAGUGAAAUGCGUAGAUAUCAGGAGGAACACCGGCGGCGAAGGCGGCACUCUGGGCCGGUACUGACGCUGAGGAGCGAAAGCGUGGGUAGCAAACAGG